rnacentral:rRNA from 1 species
AGUGAACGCUGGCGGUAGGCCUAACACAUGCAAGUCGAACGGCAGCACAGUAAGAGCUUGCUCUUACGGGUGGCGAGUGGCGGACGGGUGAGGAAUACAUCUGAAUCUACUUUUUCGUGGGGGAUAACGUAGGGAAACUUACGCUAAUACCGCAUACGACCCACGGGUGAAAGCAGGGGAUCUUCGGACCUUGCGCGAUUGAAUGAGCCGAUGUCGGAUUAGCUAGUUGGCGGGGUAAAGGCCCACCAAGGCGACGAUCCGUAGCUGGUCUGAGAGGAUGAUCAGCCACACUGGAACUGAGACACGGUCCAGACUCCUACGGGAGGCAGCAGUGGGGAAUAUUGGACAAUGGGCGCAAGCCUGAUCCAGCCAUACCGCGUGAGUGAAGAAGGCCUUCGGGUUGUAAAGCCCUUUUGUUGGGAAAGAAAAGCAGCAGGUUAAUACCCCGCUGUUCUGACGGUACCCAAAGAAUAAGCACCGGCUAACUUCGUG